GCAUGCUUAUAGCAUAGCGUUAAUGCAUUGGAUCCCAUUAGAACUCCGCAGCUAAGUGCACUCGAGCUAGAGUAGUAUUGGGAUGGGUGAUCGCCCGGAAAGUCCUAGUGUCUUACAUGCC
rfam:Picea glauca, whole genome shotgun sequence.